AAAGGAUGUUUCCCUGCCUUUUUGAAGAUAAUGACCACUCAUCUGAGUGCACAGUUCACAGAAUCCCUUUGCAGUGGCCCAUGUGGGCCAAGGUAGUAGAGCAUAAUAGAUCUCUAGAAGGCCACUAGAAACAGCAGGUGAUGGCCCCAGCUCCUGUCCCUCCAUGCAUAACAUCUGUCAACACCUGUGGACAUCU